UACGUAGGCAGCAAGCGUUGUUCGGAAUUACUGGGCGUAAAGAGUGUGUAGGCGGUGCUCCAAGUCUGGUGUGAAAUCUCCCGGCUUAACUGGGAGGGUGCAUUAGAAACUGGAAUGCUAGAGGAUGGGAGAGGUAAGCGGAAUUCCCGGUGUAGCGGUGAAAUGCGUAGAUAUCAGGAGGAACACCUGUGGUGUAGACAGCUUACUGGACCAUUUCUGACGCUGAGACACGAAAGCGUGGGUAGCAAACAGG
rnacentral:rRNA from 1 species